rnacentral:lncRNA from 1 species
AAGAUCGUGUAUGUAGGAAGGGACCUAAAUAAGUUCCUUUGCAGAUUUAAACAUUUCAAACCACCUAUUUCCAAAUUCUACCACUUCUCGUGGAAAGUAACAGAUUCAUAUUAAACAGAUAAUUUCUUGUCCCCGAGAAUUAAGGGUGGACCAAAUUGAAUUUUCUGUAAAUGAUGAAAGGAAGGGUCAGUCCUUUCUGAAAUGCUUUGGUUUGUCAAGCAUUGUGCCAAAUAAUUGACACCAUUCUCCUUUUACCAUUAGUGGCAAUUCAAGAUGUGACCAACCUUCUACAAUUUAACUGCUGAAUGUUAACAACCAGAACACUCCACACUGAUCCAUUUUACA